CAAGGUCUGGCUUGAAAUUCAGACGGAAUGACAUCGGUAAGACUUGCCCCCAAAAGACUGAGUAGGUCCAUCUUGGAACAUAGGCCAAAGGCUCUUUCUCAGGUCCUCGACCAAAAAUACGUACAGUAGCUCUUACUUGAAGCUCAGGCAGAAAUAUUUUGCCCUGGCUUUAAACUAAAACCCCUGAACCUAAAGACAGAAUGUAGGUCCGGGUCUAAACUUGG